rnacentral:rRNA from 1 species
AAGCGUUUAUGACCAGACUUGGGCUUGGUUAAUCAUCUGGGGUUCUCGCUGGUGCACUUGGCCGGCCCAGGCCAGCAUCAGUUUGCUUCGGGGGAUAAAGGCUUCGGGAAUGUGGCUCCCUCGGGAGUGUUAUAGCCCGUUGUGUAAUACCCUGCGGCAGACUGAGGUACGCGCUCCGCAAGGAUGCUGGCGUAAUGGUCGUCA